rnacentral:rRNA from 1 species
AUGUCAAAUCAUCAUGCCCUAUAUGCCCUGGGCUACACACGUACUACAAUGGCCGAGACAAAGGGAAGCGAAGUAGAGAUAUGGAGCGAAACCCAAAAAUCGGUCUCAGUUCGGAUUGAAGGCUGAAAUUCGCCUACAUGAAGCCGGAAUUGCUAGUAAUGGCAGGUCAGCAUACUGCCGUGAAUACGUUCCCGGGCCUU